rnacentral:rRNA from 1 species
GGUUUAAACAAGGAAAGGUUUAUGGUGGAUACCUAGGCACCCAGAGAUGAGGAAAUACGUAUUAAGCGACGAAAUGCUUUAAGAAGUUGAAAAUAAGUGUAGAUCCGGAGAUUCUUGAACAGGUUAACCUUUCGAACUACUACUUAAUCCAUAGGCAGGCAAAAGACACUUGGCAAACUGAAACAUCUUAGUAGCUAGAUGAAAGGAAAGUAAAAGUGAUUCCCAUAGUAGCGGCGAGCAAAAUGGAAGCAUCUUAAACCAUGAAAACGAGGUUGUGGGAGUGAAAUACAAGCGUUGUGCUGCUAGGCGAAGCAAUGGAGUACUGCACCCUAGAUGGCGACAGUCCAAUAGCCAAAAACAUCACUAACUUGCGCUCUAACCUGAGUAGCAUAAGACAUGUGGAAUCACCAGCAGGGACCACCUUGUAAAGCUAAAUACUCCUAGGUGACCGAUAGUGAAGUAGUACUGUGAGGGAAGGGUGAAAAGAACCUUCAUCUGGGAGUGAAAUAGAACAUGAAACCGUAAGCUGUCAAGUAAUGGGAGGAGCCUAGGGCUCUGGCCACAUGCCUGUUGAAGAAUGAGCAGGCGACUCAUAGGUAGUGGCUUGGUUAAGGGAACCCACCAAAGUCGUAGCAAAAAUGAGUCUUCAUAUGGUAAUUGUCACUGCUUGUGGACCAGAACUUGGGUGAUCGAUCCAUGACCAGGAUAAAGCUUGGGUGAAACUAAAUGGAGGUCUGAACCGACUGAUGUUAAAGAAUCAGCGGAUAAGUUGUGGUUAGGGAUGAAAUGCCACUCGAACCCAAAGCUAGCUAGUUCUCCCCGAAAUGCUUUGAGGCGUAACAGCUGAUUGGACAUCUAGGGGUAAAACACUAUUUCAAUACAGGCCGCGAGAGCAAUACCAAAUCGAGGCAAACUCUGAAUACAAGACAUGAGCUCAAAAUAACAAGGGUCAAGGUCAACCAGUGAGACAAUAGAGGAUAAGUUUCAUUGUCGAGAGGAAAACAGCCCAGAUCACCAACUAAGGCUCCUAAAUGACCGCUCAGUGAUAAAGGAGGUAGAGACAACCAUAAGGUUUACCUAGAAGUAGCCACCCUUGAAAUAGUGUGUAAUAGCUCACUGAGUGAGCGCUAAAGAUGAACAUGGCUAAGCAAUAUGCUGAAGCUGUGAGAUGUAAAAAUGCAUUGGUAGGGGAACGUUCCACCUAGAAUGAAGCACCCACGUGAGCGGUGGUGGAAAAAGUGGAAGCGAGAAUGUCGGCUUGAGUAACACAAACAUUAAUGAGAAUCCAAUGCCUCGAAAACCUAAGGGUUCCUUCACAAGGUUCAUCCAUGGAGGAUGAGUCAGAGCCUAAGAUCAGGCCGAAAGGCAUACUUGAUAGACAACAGGUGAAUAUUCCUGUACUACCCCUUGUUGGUCCUGAGGGAUGGAGGAGGCUAGGUUAGCUAAAAGAUGGUUAUUGGUUUAAGGACACGGAGUGCCCCUGAUUUUUCAGGGUAAGAAGGGGUAGAGAAAAUGCCUCAAGUGUUUGAGUACCAGGCGCCACGACGCUGAAGUAACCUAUGCCAUACUCAUAGGAAAAGCUCGAUUGACCUUCAACAAAAGGGUACAUGCACCUGAAACCGACACAAGUAGGUAGGUAGAGAAUACGUAGAAGCGCAAGACAACUUUCUCUAAGGAACUCAGCAAAAUAACCCCUCAACUUUGGGAGAAGAGGUUCCUCCUUCACAAAAAAGGUCGCAGUGACCUAGCCCGGGCGAUUGUUUACCAAAAACACAAGUCUUCGCGAAGUCGUAAGACCAUGUAUGUGGGCUGACACCUGCUUAGUGCCGAAAGGUCAAGGAAGUUGAUGACCUGAUGAUAGAGGAGUCAACGAUUGAAACCCCGAUGAAUGGCAGCCAUAACUAUAAUGGUCCUAAGGUAGCGAAAUUCCUUGUUGGGUAAGUUUCUACUCGCACGAAAUGAGUAAUGAUCUGGGUAUUGUCUUGGAAAGAGGCUCGAAGCAAAAGAGUUGUUUGUGAAUAUGCGAACUACCUGCACCUGGACAAAAAGACCCUAUGAAGCUUCACUGUUCCUUGGGAUUGACUUUGGCCUUUCCUGAGCAGCUUAGGUGAAAGAUGAAGAAGACCCCAUUUUGAAAGGGCUCGAGCCAUUAGUUAGAUACCAAUGUGGAAGAGUUAGAAUUCUAACCUUGUGUUUGGACCUACGGGCCAAGGGACAGUCUCAGGUAGACAGUUUUUAUUGGGCAUAAGCCUCCUAAAAGGUAACGGAGGCGUGCAAAGGUUUCCUCGAGCUAGACCGAGGUUGGUUAUCGAGUGCAAAAGUAGAAAAGAGCUUGACUGCAAGACCUACCCGUUAAGCAGGGAUAAAAGUUGGCCUUAGUGAUUUGAUGGUGCCAAGUGGAAGGGUCGUCGUUCAAAGGAUAAAAGUUACUUUAGGGAUAACAGGCUGAUCUUCCCCAAGAGUUCACAUCGAUGAGAAGGUUUUACACCUCGAUUUUGGUUCUUCCCCACCCAGGGUUGUAGUAUGUUCCAAGGGUUGUGCUAUUUGCGCAUUAAAGCAGUACGUGAGCUAGUUUCAAAAUGUCGUGAGACAAUUCGGUCCAUAUCUGGUAUGGGCGUUAGAGCAUUGCAAGGACCUUUCCCUAGUACGAGAGGACUGGGAAGGACUCACCUCUAGUGUACAAGUUAUGGUGCCCAUGAUAAACACUAGGUAAAAGCAUCUAAGUAGUAGGCCCACCCUAAGAUGAAAGCUAAAAGCAUCUAAGUAGUAGGCCCACCCCAAGAUGAAUGCUCUUUUAUUCCGACUUCCUCAAAGCCUCAUGUAUCAAAACUAAGACAACUAUAUGUUUUUUACCCCUGUGGGGGUGGAACAACAAACCAAAAGCUCUACCCUCCCCUCUAUCUAUCCAAAGGAUGGAAGGGUAGAGGCCUUUAGUGUCCAUUCUAGUCAAGAAUUUGGGCCUCACAAUCACUAGCUAAUAUGCUUUUCUCUCAUGCCUUUCUUCAUUCAUGGUUUGAUAUUUUGGUGUCCUAGGCGUAGAGGAACCACACCAAUCCAUCCCAAAAUUGGUGGUUAAACUCUACUGUAGGGGAGGUCUUGUGGAAAAAUAGCUCAACGCUAGAAUGAUAAAAACUUAAUACCUUUCAUUCUUAUUACUUUUUCAAUAUGAAAAAAAAAAAAUUGAAAAUGAAAAAGGUCGUCUUAUUCAAAACCCCAAUCCAAUUAUGAAAUCCAUUCUCUCUCCACUUUACACCUCGAAACACACCAUUCUUAUAUAGAGAGAGGCGCUUUCACAUCUUCCUAACCGCAAAUGGCUAGGGAGAGGAAAAGUUUUUUUUUUUUUGGGGGGUACUCAUGGGAAUAGAUCCAAUGGAGACGGGGUGGGGCAUAUAGCUCAGAGGAUUAGAGAACAUGGCUAUGAACCACGGUGUUGGGGGUUCGAAUCCCUCUUAACCCA